UACGAAGGGGGCUAGCGUUGCUCGGAAUCACUGGGCGUAAAGGGUGCGUAGGCGGGUUCUUAAGUCAGAGGUGAAAUCCUGGAGCUCAACUCCAGAACUGCCUUUGAUACUGAGAGUCUUGAGUUCGGGAGAGGUGAGUGGAACUGCGAGUGUAGAGGUGAAAUUCGUAGAUAUUCGCAAGAACACCAGUGGCGAAGGCGGCUCACUGGCCCGAUACUGACGCUGAGGCACGAAAGCGUGGGGAGCA
rnacentral:rRNA from 1 species